rnacentral:rRNA from 1 species
CCUACGGGAGGCUGCAGUGGGGAAUAUUGCACAAUGGGCGAAAGCCUGAUGCAGCAACGCCGCGUGAGCGAUGAAGGCCUUCGGGUCGUAAAGCUCUUUCCUCAAGGAAGUUAAUGACGGUACUUGAGGAGGAAGCCCAAGCUAACUACGUUCCAGCAGCCGCGGUAAUACGUCGGGGGCUAGCGUUAUCCGGAAUUACUGGGCGUAAAGGGUGCGUAGGUGGUUUCUUAAGUCAGAGGUGAAAGGUUACGGAUAAACGGUAGUAAUCCUUUGAAACUGGGGAACUUGAGGGCAGGAGAGGAGAGUGGAAUUCCUGGUGUAGCGGUGAAAUGCGUAGAUAUUAGGAGGAACACCAGUUGCGAAGGCGGCUCUCUGGACUGUAACUGACACUGAGGCACGAAAGCGUGGGGAGCAAACAGGAUUAGAUACCCGAGUAGUC